rnacentral:lncRNA from 1 species
CCUGUACCCACUUCAACGACCUGUUCCCCAAGAUACCUCAGGCCCUCUAGCUACCCGUUCACCAGAUACAAACAAGGGAUAUGAUAAAUUCAUUCACAUUUCGGUGGUUUCAAUUUCAAGAAAUUUGCUUCUCCCCAGACGGCGUGCAUUUGCACAAAAACAUUGAAGCAAGAAAGUAAUGUUGUGUAACUCAAAAAAGUAAGUCACAGGCUGGGCGCGGUGGCUCACGCCUGUAAUCCCAGCACUUUGGGAGGCCGAGGCGGGUGGAUCACGAGGUCAAGAGAUCGAGACCAUCCUGGCCAACAUGGUGAAACCCCGUCUCUACUAAAAAUACAAAAAGUAGCUGGGCGUGGUGCCGCGUGCCUGUAGUCCCAGCUACUCAGGAGGCUGAGGCAGGAUAAUCGCUUGAAUCCGGGAGGUGGAGGUUGCAGUGAGCCGAGAUCGCGCCACUGCACUCCAGCCUGGCGACAGAGCAAGACUGCGUCUCAAAAAAAAAAAAAAAAAAAAGGCUGGAGUGCAACGGCACAAUCUCGGCUCACCGCAACCUCCGCCUCCCGGGUUCAAGCGAUUCUGCUGCCUCAGCCUCCUGAGUAGCUGGGAUUACAGGCAUGUGCCACCACGCCCGGCUAAUUUUGUAUUUUUAGUACAGAUAGGGUUUCUCCAUAUUGGUCAGGCUGGUCUCGAACUCCCAACCUCAGGUGAUCCGCAUGCCUCAGCCUCCCAAAGUUCUGGGAUUACAGGCAUGAGCCACCGCACCCGGCCAUUUGUAUGUAAUUUUCUAUAUUUAUUGAAAUGCAUUUUAAGUAAUAUGAAAGCAUUUUUCUCCUUACAAUGGAAAAACCAACUUGAUUUUACAUUUAUUUAUAUAACCUGACUUAAUUCUAUGUAAGUCAAGUGAAAAAGGAAACAACUGCUCUGUGGAAUCAACCUGAAGAUGUCUAAUUUUUCCUCUGAUGCCACCAGACUUAAAGCAGUUCACGAUCCUCUCUACAAAGAAGUAUAUUUAGGUUCUCCCUCUCCCUCUCCCUCUCCCUCUCCCCACGGUCUCCCUCUGAUGCCGAGCCGAAGCUGGACUGUACUGCUGCCAUCUCGGCUCACUGCAGCCUCCCUGCCUGAUUCUCCUGCCUCAGCCUGCCCAGUGCCUGCGAUUGCAGGUGCGCGCCGCCACGCCUGACUGGUUUUCGUAUUUUUUUGGUGGAGACGGGGUUUCGCUGUGUUGGCCAGGCUGGUCUCCAGCUCCUAACCGCGAGUGAUCCGCCAGCCUUGGCCUCCCGAGGUGCCAGGAUGGCAGACGGAGUCGCGUUCACUCAGUGCUCAAUGGUGCCCAGGCUGGAGUGCAGUGGCAUGAUCUCGGCUCGCUACAACCUCCACCUCCCAGCUGCCUGCCUUGGCCCCCCAAAGUGCCGAGAUUGCAGCCUCUGCCUGGCCACCACCCCGUCUGGGAAGUGAGGAGCGUCUCUGCCUGGCCGCCCAUCGUCUGGGAUGUGAGGAGCCUCUCUGACUGGCUGCCCAGUCUGGAAAGUGAGGAGCGUCUCUGCCCGGCCGCCAUCCCAUCUAGGAAGUGAGGAGCGUCUCUGCCAGGCCGCCCAUCGUCUGAGAUGUGGGGAGCGCCUCUGCCCUGCCGCCCCGUCUGGGAUGUGAGGAGCGUCUCUGCCCGGCUGACCCGUCUGAGAAGUGAGGAGACCCUCUGCCUGGCAACCGCCCCGUCUGAGAACCCAAAGACUAGAAUUCCAUUUCUAAACCCAGCCCAGCAGCCGGAAGUCAUGAAGCAGUCAACCUGCCUGGACAUCCAGCUACGCUCUGCUGCGCCAUUCUAUCCACCCAUCAAGACUCCCCUCCCUUCUACUGUAUGUCACCAUAAGUUUUCGUGCCUGUUCUGCAUGCUCAAUUGAACUUCCCUCUAUCAGGUCACUCAAGCCAUUCUCCUGUUCCCACUCUAACCUGCUUUGGAAUCUAUGGCUGCCUAAUGACACUUACAAACAAGUACAUUCAAGGUCAAACAUCCUCAGGUCAAAUUCGUGGCAAGAGGGAUGAUCUUUUAAACCUACAUUUUUGGGCCGGGUGAGGUGGAUCACACCUGUAAUCCCAGCACUUUGGGAGACUGAGGGGGCAGAUCACCUGAGAUCAGGAGUUUGAGACCAGCCUGGCCCACAUGGCAAAAUCCCAUCUCUACUAAAAAUGUUUAAAAAAAAAAAAUAGCCAGGCUUGGUGGCACACACCUGUAGUCCCAACUACUCAAGAGGCUGAGACCGGAGAAUCGCUUGAACCUGGAAGGCAGAGGUUGCAGUGGACCGAGAUCGCACCACUGCACUCCAGCCUGGGCAACAGAGCAAGACUCCAUCUCAGGGAGGGAAAAAAAAACUUACAUUCCCUCCACCUCUCCCUCUCUUUGUUUUAAUGAAGCAUCAGUAACUUCAGCUGUUAUGAUAAAUUGAAAUAGCUGCAAAUCAGCAAAACUCAUGUUUGAUGGGUUAUCUUCUAUCAAAGAGUGAGAGAUGCCUUGCCCUGAUCAUUCCUAUUGCUAACAUAAAUUCCAUUGAGUUCUUAGGCCUAAGAGGAAAGAAAGUAAAGAGAAGAAGAAUGGACUGCACAAUGAAGCUAUCAGAUCAGCCCACGUUGGGAUGGGGUCAAUAGAUGCAAAAUGAACACCAUUCUUCAAAGUAAUCAUCUAACAGCAUGGAUAACCCUCCUAAAAGCCAACUGGGAUUGAAUUACUCCUCUGCCAAGAACCCUCUGCUGCACCUUAUCCAAGGCCCACCAUAAAAUGAUGCCAGCCCACCUCACCCAAAACCUCUUCCAGAAAGUCCCAGCUCCACCCUGGUUCUCUCCUCCACAGAUGUCAGACCUGUAUGUGGUCUGAUGGCUCUCUCAGCCUCCUUCAUUCUCUCCCCAUUUCUGCCACAUUUUCCCCAAUAAAUCUUGUGUGUGUCUAAUUCCAUUUUGGUGUCUGCAUCUCAGAUGAUCUGAACUAACACAAAUGGAGAGUGAAAAACAAAAAAAAAAGUCUGGCCACAUUUAUAAAUUCAUCCCAGGCUGCAAAGAGUUAGACAGCACUUCCCCAAAGAAAACUGUCACGUAAAACAUUCAAAGAUUCUCAGUUUAGCCAUCAUCUAGCCAGUUCUUCCCACUGAUCACAUUUUCCCAAUUUAUAGAUAGGAAUACUGAGCCUCAAGAGGUUAAGUAAAUCGCCUGAAGAUUAUACAGCUAGUAAAUGAUGAAAUCAGGGCUCUUGACUCAAAGUCCCAGUGUCAUCCAACUACACUUGAGUGGGCUUGAAACGAAUCCUAAGAGUUUUGUAAAUGGUAUAUCAUUAUCUAACAUAAGGUACUAUGAACCACUGCCAUCAUCAUCCUCAUUUCUCUCUGAGGAUCUUUGCAGUAAAGUGAAGGUAGUAGUAGAUCUGUCAUACUGAAUGUUGAAGUCAGAAUAAUGGCUCCCCAAAGAUGCCCAAACCCUAACCCCAAACCCUGUGAUUAUAUAACCUUACAUAGCAAAAUGGACUUUGCAGAUGUGAUUAAGUUUAGGAUUCUGAGAUAGAGAGAUGACCCUGGAUUAUUCCAGGGUCCCAGUGUAGUCACAAGUGUCCUUAUGAGAGGAAAGCAGGAGCACCAGAGUCAAAAGAGAUACAAGGCUAGAGGGUGAGAGGGAGCCCUGAAGAUGCCACUCUGCUGCUUUGAAGAUAGAAGGGGCUACAAGCCAAGGAACACAGGCAGCCUCUAAAAGCUGGAAAAGUUGCUGGGCGUGGUGGCUCAUGCCUGUAAUCCCAGCACUUUGGGAGGCCAAGGCGGGUGGAUCACG